AAUAGAUACCCCGGGUAGUCCACGCCGUAAACGAUGAGUGCUAAGUGUUAGAGGGUUUCCGCCCUUUAGUGCUGCAGCUAACGCAUUAAGCACUCCGCCUGGGGAGUACGGCCGCAAGGCUGAAACUCAAAGGAAUUGACGGGGGCCCGCACAAGCGGUGGAGCAUGUGGUUUAAUUCGAAGCAACGCGAAGAACCUUACCAGGUCUUGACAUCCUCUGACACUCCUAGAGAUAGGAUCUUCCCCUUCGGGGGACAGAGUGACAGGUGGUGCAUGGUUGUCGUCAGCUCGUGUCGUGAGAUGUUGGGUUAAGUCCCGCAACGAGCGCAACCCUUGAUCUUAGUUGCCAGCAUUCAGUUGGGCACUCUAAGGUGACUGCCGGUGACAAACCGGAGGAAGGUGGGGAUGACGUCAAAUCAUCAUGCCCCUUAUGACCUGGGCUACACACGUGCUACAAUGGAUGGUACAAAGGGCUGCAAGACCGCGAGGUUAGCCAAUCCCAUAAAACCAUUCUCAGUUCGGAUUGCG
rnacentral:rRNA from 1 species